CUUUCGCACACACACAAACGUGCAUAAUGUUUGAAAUUUUGCACACAUUUACAAUAAUUGUAAAUGUGUUGAAAAUCGUUUGCACAACUGUGA
rnacentral:pre_miRNA from 11 species